CCUACGGGGGGCAGCAGUGGGGAAUAUUGGACAAUGGGGGGAACCCUGAUCCAGCCAUGCCGCGUGUGUGAAGAAGGCCCUCGGGUUGUAAAGCACUUUCAGUGAGGAAGAACGCCUGGUGGUUAAUACCCAUCAGGAAAGACAUCACUCACAGAAGAGGCACCGGCUAACUCCGUGCCAGCAGCCGCGGUAAUACGGAGGGUGCGAGCGUUAAUCGGAAUUACUGGGCGUAAAGCGCGCGUAGGUGGCUUGAUAAGCCGGUUGUGAAAGCCCCGGGCUCAACCUGGGAACGGCAUCCGGAACUGUCAAGCUAGAGUGCAGGAGAGGAAGGUAGAAUUCCCGGUGUAGCGGUGAAAUGCGUAGAGAUCGGGAGGAAUACCAGUGGCGAAGGCGGCCUUCUGGACUGACACUGACACUGAGGUGCGAAAGCGUGGGUAGCAAACAGGAUUAGAUACCCUUGUAGUC
rnacentral:rRNA from 1 species